GGAAGGGAAAGGGAAAUGAGAAGGAAGAGAGAGUGAAGGCUAUAGGAAGGAACGUCUCGACAAGGAUCGUCAAAGAAAAUAAGUGUUUGUCUUGUCAACGGCAAGGAGACUGGGUUUUCGUUCGUCUUUCUCACCCAACUAUAUACACGGGCCAGAUGCCUUCUAUGAUAGCAACAAAAAGGAUUGGACCCAACCCCAUUACCCAUAUGGUGAAGCAUAUUGCAGAACAAUUCAGAUUGGCACAAAGUCUAGAAAUGUUGCUGUCAAGAUUUGGAAUGAGGACUCGGAUGACUUACAAGUGAUUUUAUUUUCUGUGUUUUACAGGAAGAAGCAAGGUUCCUGAAGGAUGAUGAAACUACUGCUUCUCUUCCCAAUUUCGUGAAUGUGAUCGGUAAUAAUGCAAAGGGCACUAUCUAUGAUGUCGAUCCACUAGAUACCUUGCAUAACAUGACGACAAGCGGUGCUGCUUCUGCAAGUGAUUCAAGAAAUGGUUGUAAAUUGUUUGAAGCAACUACAAGUUGUGAAAACUCAUUUGCAGUUGUGGAGCAGAACUUCAACUUACUUUCUUAUUGCCAAUAUAUAUUUGUCCUGUACUUAAAAACACUGCUGGUCUGUUUUCUUUAAAGAUGUAAUACGAUGUUUUUUGGGAUU